rnacentral:lncRNA from 1 species
UCCAGCACCAUCCUGGCAGGAGGGUGGCACUGACUACCUUCUGGAGUCCUCGCCAGGGUGACAAAUCCUGCGUCACAGAGCUGUGUUCAUACUGAUCAUUUGCCAUCACCCCCGACCCCGUCCCUCCACCCAGCAGCCUCAGGGCUCCACCCGCCCUGCCCCAGCCGUCACAGUCACCUGUCAGCCGGACCCCGCAGCUCCUGCGCUGCCCCCUAACUCAGGAGGCUGGGUGCCUCUCCAGGGAUGCACCUCACCCGCCUGUGACUCUGAGGACCCCUCUGCCCUCUCUGGAGGGGGAUACAUCCGCCUCAUUGGUGUCAGGCAUGGACACGUGGCCUUUUGGCCAGUGGAAUGUGGGGGGACUGCCGUUUGCCACACCCGACCAUCAGCUUCAGGAGUCGCCAGCGUCUCCACCGCAGCUCACUCUCACCCUUCAUCUGAGACAGAACGUCCCUGUGGAGCUGAUCCUGCCACCAGACUGAGAACAGCGACAGCCAGCCUGUUGCUGCCGACACGAAGUUUGAGCGAGGUGUGGCCGUGUGUGGGUGAAGGCUACGGAGGUGGGGCUGUCUGUUACCGCAGCCGAGCUGACCGAGACACAGGCAGGAUGAGCUUCAUCCGUGAUGCACUGACGCUUAUUCAAACUGACCUUAUCGCAGUGUGAUUUAUGGACAAUAACAUGCGCACGUUUCAGGUGGACAUUUCACCAUGUGAACCUGUGCCUUUGUGUCUCCAGUCAAGAUGCAGAACGUUUCCAUCUCUUCGUAUCUCUUUAAAAUCUGUUCUCCCCACCCCUCAACUCAGUCACUGAUGGAUUUCUAUCAUUAUAGGAUUAGUCUCGCCACUUUUGGAACUUCAUAUAAAUACAGUCACUG